ensembl:snRNA U1 U1 spliceosomal RNA
ACACUUACCUGGCAGGGGAGAUACCAUGAUCAUGAAGGUAGUUUUCCUAGGGCGAGGCUUAAGGCUUAUCCAUUGCACUCUAAAUGUACUGACCCCUGCAACUUCCCCAAAUGUGAGAAACGGGACUGUAUAAUUUGUGGUAGUGAGAGACUGUGUUUGUACUCUCCCCUU